ensembl:lncRNA
GGGAAUGUCAGGGAAUAGAGACAGAAAGGGGUUGGUGUAUGUGUCUGAAAGCACCUUCAUUGAAGAAUGGAGAGGGGGCAUGGGAUAAUGUGUUUAUGGAAGGGAAAUCAGAAAAGAGGGUAACAUUUGAAAUGUAAAUAAAAAUAUCCAAUAAAAUAUAAUAAAAAGAUUGAAUAACAUCUGUACAACAUGGUGUUCAUCCUCCAAAACAUCACAUGAUCCUGAGUGGAGACCAUAUGUGCCUCCAAGUAGACAACCUUUGCACACCACAGUCUGCAUUCCUGAACAGGUACAAUUAAAUGAUGCAAGGGUCAAUUUUUUGAAAUCCAGUAUUGUUUUUAAAUACAUUAAUACAUUAUAAAACUAAAAAAAGGUAAUUGCAUGUGUUUGAGUGAGACUAGAUAGAAAGGGAGUAAUUUGAAUGGUGAGAGAGAGGGUUAGAUAUUAUGUAAAUAAGUAGCUCAUGAAUGAAUUCGUAAUAAAAUAAAUAAAAAAUAUCAAAAAACCUUCAGGAAACUAUAAAUGCACAUUUCAGUAUACAUUGUAAAAUAGCAUCCUAAGAUUUAUUUAUUGUUCCAUUGAAAUACAUUCACAGCAUAUUUCUUCUCCUCUUGGAUGCAUAUUCUGUAGAUUCCUACUGUCUGAAGACAGAGGUAUAUAGAGUCUAUAAUGAAAAAUUCAAAUCUAGUGCCUUUAUACUAAUUACUAUAUGACUUGACCAUAUAUUUUUAAAUAUAAUGUUUUGUGAAGCCACUAAAUACAUUAUAAAAUUAUUUUACUAUAUAAUUCAGUGUUCAAGGUGAGGUAGAUUACUUAGUCUAUGGUCUAUACAUUGUGAAAGCACUAGUGUUUACAAUCCUUGACUCUACAUACAAAUAAACAAUAAAGCAGUCUCAUAUGGGCUACUCAUCUAUAAUUACGGAGGCUCUAUGAUAUUAAUUAUAUAGUUUAUGUCAAAAUGCUUGGAAUCUGCUGAAGAACAUAUGUGAACUUUCCAUCACACCAUUACAUGUCUGUGCAGAUGUCACAUCUCCAUAUAUACAUGAACAGCUACAUGCAUGUCUACUUCUGCACAUAUGAAAUGGAAUAAGUCUCCCGGUUUUUAAGGAUAGGACCUAAUAGUGCAGGCUUGAUUUGUUAGGCACUUCUAAUCUAUAAAAGUUUUGCUUCAAAUUGACAUACAUCAACCUGAGUCUGUCUCCAUUCUGCUAACAUUAUUGAAACACACCACUAAGCCUGGUUAACUGCUCAUUUAUGAAAACUAUUUUUUCAUCCAUGUAUACUUUAACAUACAAUGGUAAGAUUAUAUCUUUGCUAUAACUAAUUGAAUACAAAACUAUGUGCCAAAACCUUAAUCUUCAUUAUUAUAUUCUGGUUGUUGGGGUCUCUUGUAAAUUUUACAUGGGAUUGACCAUGAGAGAACAGAAAAAAUAUUGAUGCAUUGGAUGCGAAUUGUUCUAAUAUCUAAUGCUUUGGGGGACUUGUGGUUCUUCCUAUUAAUAAGAUUCACAUCAAUUAAUCAGAAAAUGUAUGAAGGUGUUAUUACUAGUUUAAAAAUAUCUGAGGCUAACCAAAGUCUAUACAUGGACUGACCCUGGGCUCCAACCUCAU